GUCCAGGGAUGGGAAUCGAACCCACUGUGUUCCGCUUACCGAAAAGAUGCCAUGUCCACUAGGCUACCCUGGA
rnacentral:tRNA from 1 species